UACGAAGGUCCCGAGCGUUAUCCGGAUUUAUUGGGCUUAAAGGGUGCGUAGGCGGGUUAUUAAGUCAGUGGUGAAAGCCUACAGCUUAACUGUAGAAUUGCCAUUGAUACUGAUGAUCUUGAGUAUGAUUGAGGUGGGCGGAAUGCGUCAUGUAGCGGUGAAAUGCUUAGAUAUGACACAGAACACCGAUUGCGAAGGCAGCUCACUAAGUCAUAACUGACGCUGAUGCACGAAAGCGUGGGGAGCAAACAGG
rnacentral:rRNA from 1 species